rnacentral:rRNA from 1 species
GAUGAACGCUAGCGGCAGGCCUAACACAUGCAAGUCGAGGGGUAUAUAGUAGCUUGCUACUAUAGAGACCGGCGCACGGGUGCGUAACGCGUAUGCAAUCUGCCUCUUACUGAGGGAUAGCCCGGAGAAAUUCGGAUUAAUACCUCAUAGUAUUGUUACAUUGCAUGAUGUUGAUAAUUAAAGGUUACGGUAAGAGAUGAGCAUGCGUCCUAUUAGCUAGAUGGUGAGGUAAUGGCUCACCAUGGCGAUGAUAGGUAGGGGUCCUGAGAGGGAUGUCCCCCACACUGGUACUGAGACACGGACCAGACUCCUACGGGAGGCAGCAGUGAGGAAUAUUGGACAAUGGGCGAGAGCCUGAUCCAGCCAUGCCGCGUGUAGGAAGACUGCCCUAUGGGUUGUAAACUACUUUUAUACAGGAAGAAUAAGAUCUACGUGUAGAUUGAUGACGGUACUGUAUGAAUAAGAACCGG